rnacentral:rRNA from 1 species
CAUGCCACCCUGAACAAGCCCAAUCCCAUCUGAUCUCAGAGGCUAAGCAGGGUCUGGCUUGGUUAGUACUUAGAUGGGAGACCACCUAGGAAGACCAGGG